rnacentral:tRNA from 1 species
CAAAAAGUAGCUUAAAACAAAGCAUUCGACUUACAAUCGAACGAUAUUGCACCAAUCUUUUUGA